rnacentral:lncRNA from 1 species
GGAAGUUUCAGGGCCACCAGCAGGGUUGGCCUGGUCCUCAGUGUGCUAGGUUCUUGGCAAGUCCCAUCCACUUGGGCAGGACAUGCAAGCACUGGUUAAGGUCACCGGCUCAUAGGGAGGACAGCCUGUGUUGGAACCUCACAGCUACCAAAACUGUGUGACCUUGGGCAAGUUACUCAAUCUCUCUGAGAAUGAAUGAGACUAAUAAUCGUGCCUCCCUCAUAGCAUUAUUUUAGGAUUCAAUAAGAUAAGGCAUAGGAAGCCCUUGGCAGUGAGUCGCACCUGGGCAGAGCUCAAUCAACGCACACUCUUAUUUUUAUUAUAUUACUACAACACCAGAGGCCUGCCUACAGUCCAGGAUGCCUCAAGGCACUGCAACUCAAAGCGUGGUCUGCCGUCCUGCGGCGGCGGCAGCAGCUGGGAGCCUACCCCACUUUACACCUUCUGAACCAGAAUCUCUGGGGUUGGGGCUGCAGUUUACCAAGCUCUCCCAUGAUUUAUAUGCUCGCAAAGUUGAGAACCACUGCCGUAAAGUGUCUUUGCGUUAACCUCAGCUCCAGACGGCAACGUCUCCAAGCCAUAACCUUGCAGCUGUGAGAAACGAAGGGAGGAAAGAAGAUAAAGCAGAAGCAGCGAGGUUUGGGGAGGGAGGCGUUGGUCCCUGGGGAUGCUCUCUGGCCACUGGGACCUAGACUCUGUUGAGAGGCGCCGGCGACUCUUUCCAUAAACCUGGGCAGACCCCUGAGCCACACCUGUCUGGAAGAUUUGAAGAUGCAAAGAAAGAGGACUCCGUCCUCCAGAGCUCCUCCCUCAGCCCAGUCCUCAUCACUGGCUCUGUCUGCCCGUGCGAUCCCAUUUGCGCCCAUCGCUUCGACCGUUGCGAGUCUACAUCUGGAGCCUUUACGUCUCUCGGGAACUCCAGAAGGUCUUUCACAUGAAGUCACGGAAUACUCGUCUUUCGUAUGCUCACGGGGGACAUCAGUGGUGGAUCAUUUGCCUACAGCUAAUGCGGAACUCAGACGGCUGACGUUCUAGGAAGCACGAGACAAUAAUUACUCCCUCUCAGGAUUCUCCAGCCUUCAUCCAUCUAUCAGUUUGGACCAACCAUCAUUUGUAUUCUGUACAGUAUCACCUUGAUCUCCCAGAGCAUCCUUUA